UACGGAGGGUGCAAGCGUUAUCCGGAUUUACUGGGUUUAAAGGGUGCGCAGGCGGAUAUGUAAGUCAGUGGUGAAAUCUCUGGGCUUAACCCGGAAACUGCCGUUGAUACUAUAUAUCUUGAAUGCUGUGGAGGUAAGCAGAAUAUGUCAUGUAGCGGUGAAAUGCUUAGAGAUGACAUAGAAUACCUAUUGCGAAGGCAGCUUACUACGCAGAUAUUGACGCUCAUGCACGAAAGCGUGGGGAUCAAACAGG
rnacentral:rRNA from 1 species